UGGGGUGGUGGCGCAGUUGGCUAGCGCGUAGGUCUCAUAGCAAUCUGAGUGAUCCUGAGGUCGAGAGUUCGAGCCUCUCUCACCCCAUUUUUUAACAUUUUAAUUAUAAUAGUUUAAUUAUCUAAUGAUUAUGAAUAAUAAUAUUGCAUAAGUAAAACAUCAGCCCCUAUAGCUCAGUGGUAGAGCGCCAGUCUUGUAAACUGGAGGUCUGUAGUUCGAUCCUGCAUGGGGGCAG
rnacentral:tRNA from 1 species